rnacentral:rRNA from 1 species
UGGGGAAUAUUGGACAAUGGGGGGAACCCUGAUCCAGCCAUGCCGCGUGUGUGAAGAAGGCCUUAUGGUUGUAAAGCACUUUAAGCGAGGAGGAGGGUACUGGUAUUAAUACUACCAGGUACUGGACGUUACUCGCAGAAUAAGCACCGGCUAACUCUGUGCCAGCAGCCGCGGUAAUACAGUGGGUGCGAGCGUUAAUCGGAUUUACUGGGCGUAAAGCGUGCGUAGGCGGCUAAUUGAGUCGGAUGUGAAAUCCCCGAGCUUAACUUGGGAAUUGCAUUCGAUACUGGUUAGCUAGAGUGUGGGAGAGGAUGGUAGAAUUCCAGGUGUAGCGGUGAAAUGCGUAGAGAUCUGGAGGAAUACCGAUGGCGAAGGCAGCCAUCUGGCCUAACACUGACGCUGAGGUACGAAAGCAUGGGGAGCAAACAGG